AACGCUGGCGGCGUGCCUAAUACAUGCAAGUCGAACGCACUCUCGUUUAGAUUGAAGGAGCUUGCUCCUGAUUGAUAAACAUUUGAGUGAGUGGCGGACGGGUGAGUAACACGUGGGUAACCUGCCCUAAAGUGGGGGAUAACAUUUGGAAACAGAUGCUAAUACCGCAUAAAACCUAACGCCGCAUGGUGUAGGGUUGAAAGAUGGUUUCGGCUAUCACUUUAGGAUGGACCCGCGGUGCAUUAGUUAGUUGGUGAGGUAAAGGCUCACCAAGACCGUGAUGCAUAGCCGACCUGAGAGGGUAAUCGGCCACACUGGGACUGAGACACGGCCCAGACUCCUACGGGAGGCAGCAGUAGGGAAUCUUCCACAAUGGACGAAAGUCUGAUGGAGCAACGCCGCGUGAGUGAAGAAGGUUUUCGGAUCGUAAAACUCUAUUGUUGGAGAAGAAUGUAUCUGAUAGUAACUGAUCAGGUAGUGACGGUAUCCAACCAGAAAGCCACGGCUAACUACGUGCCAGCAGCCGCGGUAAUACGUAGGUGGCAAGCGUUGUCCGGAUUUAUUGGGCGUAAAGCGAGCGCAGGCGGUUUCUUAAGUCUGAUGUGAAAGCCUUCGGCUCAACCGAAGAAGUGCAUCGGAAACUGGGAAACUUGAGUGCAGAAGAGGACAGUGGAACUCCAUGUGUAGCGGUGAAAUGCGUAGAUAUAUGGAAGAACACCA
rnacentral:rRNA from 1 species